GUGCAUGGGCAUCAUGGGGAUGCAUGCAUAACAGUAGGAAGAUGUGAACAACCCUCCAUAACAAUGAUGUAGCAUUGCCCAUUAUACAAUACAGCCAAGAGAAUGGGAUGAAUUAUUUAUCUGUUCUCUGAUUCAGUUAUCAAUUAUAUUCAAAUGUACAAGAUAUAUGUUUUGAUGUAUGUGAAAGCUAUAUAUAUUGCAUGUAUCAUAUUGUCUAUCAUGAUAUCUGCUUAUUGAGAUAGUGUAUCUCACUCCUUCAUCAUUUUCAAAUCAUUCAGAGACCGCUAAGGAGUGAAGGUAAUAGCAGAGAAGUCUUUUGUAAGUUAGGCUCUAUAAGAACUCAAGCUACUAUUUUGUAUUUUCGCUUUGUAGUGUAAGAAAGAAAAAAUUUUAGAGCCUUGUUUUGCAUGUAUCUAUACAUAUCAAGGGAUGUGACACUUAUGCACUUUUUUAUUAAUGAAAACUUGUUAGGUUUUAUUUAACUAAGUGUGAAGUUACAGUGUGAUCCGAACACACCCUAUAAGAGAGGGGUGAUCGUGACACACAAAGAUUG
rnacentral:lncRNA from 1 species